rnacentral:rRNA from 1 species
CGGACGAACGGCUGGCGGGCGUGCCUAACACAUGCAAGUCGAGCGGAGUCGAUCGACGGAAGCCUUCGGGCGGAAGAUGGUUGACUUAGCGGCGGAUGGGUGAGUAACGCGUGGGCAACCUGCCUCGAAGACCGGGAUAACAGCCCGAAAGGGCUGCUAAUACCGGAUGUGGUCAAGGAUCCGCAUGGAUUUUUGAUUAAAGGGGAAACCCGUUUCGAGAUGGGCCCGCGUCCUAUCAGCUAGUUGGUGAGGUAAAAGCUCACCAAGGCGACGACGGGUAGCCGGCCUGAGAGGGUGACCGGCCACACUGGAACUGAGACACGGUCCAGACUCCUACGGGGGGCAGCAGUGGGGAAUCUUCCACAAUGGGCGAAAGCCUGAUGGAGCGACGCCGCGUGAGCGAAGAAGGCCUUCGGGUUGUAAAGCUCUGUCUGGAGGGACGAAGGAAGUGACGGUACCUCCGGAGGAAGCCACGGCUAACUACGUG